GAGGACACUGGCACAGAGAUGGGGGAUAGUCAGAACAUCUCUGGGAACUCCUCGUGCUGCAGGGACUGAAAGUCUCGGCCUUUGCCCCACCCCGAAGAGAAAGGCCUCUCACCUUGCAGUUGACCAGAAGAGCUGGAAUCUCUGUCCUGCUGGUCUUCCUCCUGCUCUCCUGGCCAUGAAUCAGGGCCUGCAUCCGGGGAGGCUCCCCCUGAAGCCAAUUCGGGUUUCCCUCCACCAGGCGUCUUUGGAUCACACUGCGCGGCUGCUGGCUCCAUCACAAAACAAUGAAGACUCCCCACAGCUCUCUCGGAUCCUUGGAACACCUUCUUAAGUUCAUAACCUGUCUCCAGACCUGUUACCUUUCAAAUACAUCUGCUUGGAGCUUCAGCCUGGAAGCUAAAAACCUUGCUACUCCAAAAUGUGGUCCUCAGAUCAGCAACUUUAACAUCAUUUCGAAGCCUCUUAAAAAUGCACUCUCAUACCUACUGAAUCAGAUGUUUCAUUGUGACAAGAUCCCCAGGUGAUUCAUGUACAGGUUAAAGUUUGAGAAGCACCAAAGUAAAACAUGAAACUAACCAUGUAUUCUCUUAUUUAAAAUGCAUCAAAGACCCCCCACCCUACCCCGCAUUGCUUGCAUGAUAGAGCUCAAGCUUUUGAAGGUGAUCCACAGUCCACAUGACCGGG
rnacentral:lncRNA from 1 species